rfam:Ascaris suum AG00417, whole genome shotgun sequence.
AUGUGGUGAAAGACAUGGGUAGUGAGACGUUACAUUGAGUCGUAUCACUAUUCUGUUUUUCGCCUCGUA